AGCUUAAUAAAAUACAUAAUGAGAAGAAAAAGUUUACUAGUUUAUAUUUGAAAUAAUGAAUAUAUCAAUUUAUCAAAUCAGUUUGCUUUUUUUAUAUUUGUUCCUGCUUGGGCAAUAGCCCGCAGCAUGACACACCCACUGCUGCCCAGUUGGAUAGAUCUCGGACAAAUCGUCCCGUGCUCAGUUUGAUUUCAUUGUCACCUCUUCGUUGCACGUUUGGGGAUAUGGAGGGCAGAGUUGUCCCUUCGAUCCUGCCCCAUGCUCGUUUGAUUUCCCCAGUGUGAGCAAUGGACUUGAAACGGGCUUUGGCCCCGCAAAAUCCCUUUACCUGACCCGUUGCGGCAGUGUCAUAAAGUGUUUAUGAGUGUUUGUCUGUGGUUACUUUGAGUAUCAGUGACUGUGUGUAUAUGGAAGCCUGGGUAUUGGUGUCCUGCAGACGGUGCUUUUUAUGUCCUGUCCAAAGUUUGAGCCUUUGUCAUAAUUUACAAGGUGCUAAGGCGACAAUUUGUGUGGCCAGAUGAGUUUGGUGCUUCCCUUAAUGAAACUUUGGCUUAAGGCUCUGGGCUCUAACUUAUGGCCAUAAAAUUUCCCAUGCAAUUCAAGAGGUCAAACGAAAAUAAGAAAUUUGAGAAAGGAAACAUUCGACGACAUCCGUCCCUUGAUUUCCCUUCUGGAGAAAGCAUUUCCUUGUCAAUAAAAGAAUCUCCAUCCGGUGAAAUCAUCAUCAACAUUUUCCACUCGCCAUGCAAAUUGAAAGUGAAUGGGGAAUGUUUCAACUUUUAUUUGUCAAAGUCAAAACUUUUUAAAUUGAAGAUAAACUUGUGCAUUAAUGGCUAAAUAGAUUGUGGGGUAAGUGGUGAUUUAGAGUGUCUCGAGCACGUCCGCCCGGGAGGCGUCUGCGAAGUUUCUGGCCCAAAUGCUAUCUGUCACCUUCCAUUGUUCACUCACUGUACCUCGAUAUAGUUUAUUAGAUAUGAAAUACUUUCGCAACUGCUGCAAAGUGUUUUCAAUCAAAACAACAGCAUCAACACCAUUAGAGACUUUGGCAUCAGAUACAAGGCGUUAGAUGCUUUGCAUAGCUUAUAAAACAUUUCGCAAGCAUAACAUGAACAAGGACCUCGGAAGGAUGCACAACAACAAUGCCACGAGCCACGAGCUACGCAGGAAAUUUCACAGCAUUGUUGGCGGCUUUUGAGGUAACGAGCGUUGCAUGGAUAUAGCCGAGGGGCCCAGGGGGUUCGAGCGGCGAGGCGGCGGCGGCAGGAAUCUGAAACAGGAAGCUGCCAUAGCAGUCCACAAUAAGGUUUUGCCUUCAUUCCUAUUUGCCAUAAAUCGCAUGAACAAACUACGGAACUUUUUAUUUGGCUCGUUUGGCUCUGCAUGGAAAUUCAAUUAAAGUGACAAACUGUCCAAAAUUUUGACAUGGGAGCAGCCACAUCAGAGUAGCUGAAAGAAAUCACAAAAAUCCAAUGAAUGCCCAAUGGACAAUCAACAUAAAAAAAAUCAAGGGAAUACGAUUUUUUCCGGGAUGGGAAGCCGAAUAAAAAAAACAAAUGUCUGAGAGCGAGACUUACAUGCAUAUUCAUUUUGGAACAAAUCCGGAAAAUAUCACAGAGCUCUGCUACUCAUGAAUUAUGAAAAGUAAUUGAAUGAAUUCGAUUUGACUAGAAUUCCAUAGACUGAAUGCAAUGAAAAGUGAAAAUAACAGUGGGCUAUAACAGGAAACAUUUUCAUUUACGUGUUUGGGUGUUUGUUUUAUCAGAAAAACUUGCGGCUAACCAAGGAUAAACUAAAUCAUUUUAAAAUAAUUAAUUUAUUUACUCAAUUUUUCACCAUUUCAGUUCACUUUUCAAUUUAAGUCUCAAUGAAAACUAUUCCAUUAUUAUUUGUAUUUUCUAAAUUAAGAAAAAUGUGCCAGUCGUAUGCGGAAGCGUCACCCGAAAGUUGUGCCAAAUUUUACUCAAUAUGGAGCAUCAUAGUAGGAUUCGGUUUCUUUAUUUGGAAUCUGACAAUGGUGGGAUUUUAUGGCUUAAAUUUGUGGGGAGGCUUGGAGAAUAAAAAUGACAAAACCCCAUUA